rnacentral:rRNA from 1 species
UACUGCCAGUGACAAACUGGAGGAAGGCGGGGACGACGUCAAGUCAUCAUGGCCCUUACGGCCAGGGCUACACACGUGCUACAAUGGUCGGUACAAAGGGUUGCUACACAGCGAUGUGAUGCUAAUCUCAAAAAGCCGAUCGUAGUCCGGAUCGCAGUCUGCAACUCGACUGCGUGAAGUCGGAAUCGCUAGUAAUCGCGGAUCAGAAUGCCGCGGUGAAUACGUUCCCGGGCCUUGUACACACCGCCCGUCACACCAUGGGAGUUUGUUGCACCAGAAGUAGGUAGUCUAACCKYARGGAGGACGCUUACCACGGUGUGGCCGAUGACUGGGGUGAAGUCGUAACAAGGUAGCCGUAGGGGAACCUGCGGCUGGAUCACCUCCUUAACGAA